GCCUUGAUUUCGAUCAUGGCGCAGAUCGGCUGCUUUGUGCCGGCGGAUCGGGCGAGCGUUCCGAUGCUGGACCGGAUCUUUACCCGGAUCGGAGCA
rnacentral:tRNA from 1 species